AUUGAACGCUGGCGGCAGGCCUAACACAUGCAAGUCGAACGAGUGGCGGACGGGUGAGUAAUGUAUGGGAAACUGCCUGAUGGAGGGGGAUAACUACUGGAAACGGUAGCUAAUACCGCAUACCAUCGGAUGUGCCCAAAUGGGAUUAGCUAGUAGGGGGGGUAAAGGCUCACCUAGGCGACGAGCCCUAGCUGGUCUGAGAGGAUGAACAGUCAAACUGGGACUGAGACACGGUCCAGACUCCUACGGUAGGCAGCAGUGGGGAAUAUUGCACAAUGGGCGCAAGCCUGAUGCAGCCAUGCCGCGUGUAUGAAGAAGGCCUUCGGGUUGUAAAGUACUUUCAGCGGGGAGGCGUUACCCGCAGAAGAAGCACCGGCUAACUCCGUGCCAGCCGCCGCGGUAAUAC
rnacentral:rRNA from 1 species